CAGUGCUGGUGUGGACAGUGCUGAUGAUGCAUCUUAUCCAGACUCUUCAGUUGUGCCUGUGAAAGGACUUGAAUUCUCGUGCUCGACUAAGACUGCCUCUGCUGACAGCCAUCGGUGUGCCUGUGAUGGAAAAGACCUAUCAGCAGCAGUGUCAGAACUGAAGCAAGCUCACCGCAAGCUGAGCGAGCAGAACAGCAGCCUGCUCAGGACGGUGGGUCAGUGUGAAGACGUCAACAUGCAGCUCACACUGGAGAUCACUGAGC